UAACGCGUAUGCAACCUGUCCGUUACAGGGGGAUAGCCCAUGGAAACGUGGAUUAACACUCCAUAAUAUAAUAUAGAGGCAUCUUUGUAUUAUUAAAUAUUCAUAGGUAACGGUUGGGCAUGCGUCCUAUUAGAUAGUUGGGGGGGUAACGGCCCACCAAGUCGAUGAUAGGUAGGGGUUCUGAGAGGAAGGUCCCCCACACUGGUACUGAGACACGGACCAGACUCCUACGGGAGGCAGCAGUGAGGAAUAUUGGUCAAUGGGCGAGAGCCUGAACCAGCCAAGUCGCGUGAGGGAUGACUGCCCUAUGGGUUGUAAACCUCUUUUGUAUGGGGGGAAUAAGCUUUACGAGUAGAGUGAUGACAGUACCAUACGAAUAAGCAUCGGCUAACUCCGUGCCAGCAGCCGCGGUAAUACGGAGGAUGCGAGCGUUAUCCGGAUUUAUUGGGUUUAAAGGGUGCGUAGGCGGCAUUAUAAGUUAGUGGUAAAAUAUUGGGGCUUCACCUCACUACGCCAUUAAUACUGUAGAGCUAGAGAACAGACGAGGUAGGCGGAAUAAGUUAAGUAGCGGUGAAAUGCAUAGAUAUAACUUAGAACACCGAUAGCGAAGGCAGCUUACCAGACUGAGUCUGACGCUGAUGCACGAGAGCAUGGGUAGCGAACAGGAUUAGAUACCCUGGUAGUCCAUGCCAUAAACGAUGCUCACUGGCCUUAGGCGAUAUACGGUCU
rnacentral:rRNA from 1 species